rnacentral:rRNA from 1 species
AACGAACGCUGGCGGCAUGCCUAACACAUGCAAGUCGAACGAGACCUUCGGGUCUAGUGGCGCACGGGUGCGUAACGCGUGGGAACCUGCCCUCAGGUUCGGCAUAACUCUCCGACUGGGGUGCUAAUACCGGAUAAUGUCUUAGGACCAAAGAUUUAUCGCCCUUGGAUGGGCUCGCGUUGGAUUAGCUAGUUGGUAGGGUAAAAGCAUACCAAGGCGACGAUCCAUAGCUGGUCUGAGAGGCUGAUCAGCCACACUGGGACUGAGACACGGCCCAGACUCCUACGGGAGGGAGCAGUGGGGAAUAUUGGACGAUGGGCGAAGGCCUGAUCCAGCAAUGCCGCGUAAGUGAUGAAGGCCUUAGGGUUGUAAAGCUCUUUUACCCGGGAUGAUAAUGACAGUACCGGGAGAAUAAGCUCCGGCUAACUCCGUG